rnacentral:rRNA from 1 species
UACGUAGGGUGCAAGCGUUUAAUCGGAAUUACUGGGCGUAAAGCGUGCGCAGGCGGCGCCGCAAGUCAGGCGUGAAAUCCCCGAGCUUAACUUGGGAAUGGCGCUUGAAACUACGGUGCUGGAGUGUGGCAGAGGGAGGUGGAAUUCCACGUGUAGCGGUGAAAUGCGUAGAGAUGUGGAGGAACACCGAUGGCGAAGGCAGCCUCCUGGGCCAACACUGACGCUCAUGCACGAAAGCGUGGGGAGCAAACAGG